rnacentral:rRNA from 1 species
CCUACGGGGGGCAGCAGUGGGGAAUAUUGCGCAAUGGGCGAAAGCCUGACGCAGCGACGCCGCGUGAGGGAUGAAGGUCUUCGGAUCGUAAACCUCUGUCAGCAGGGAAGAACGGUCACUGUGAUAAUCAGCAGUGAAUUGACGGUAUCUGCAAAGGAAGCACCGGCUAACUCCGUGCCAGCAGCCGCGGUAAUACGGAGGGUGCGAGCGUUAAUCGGAAUUACUGGGCGUAAAGCGCUCGUAGGCGGUAUGUCAAGUCAAGGGUGAAAUCCCCGCGCUCAACGUGGGAACUGCAUUUGAAACUGGCAAACUGGAGUGUGUGAGAGGAUAGUGGAAUUCCAGGUGUAGGAGUGAAAUGCGUAGAUAUCUGGAGGAACAUCGGUGGCGAAGGCGACUAUCUGGCACAUAACUGACGCUGAGGAGCGAAAGCGUGGGUAGCAAACAGGAUUAGAUACCCGUGUAGUC